rnacentral:hammerhead_ribozyme from 1 species
CUAUUGCUGAAGAGUCCCAAACUAGGACGAAACAGCUGUCCAGUAC